rnacentral:rRNA from 1 species
GACGAACCGUGCGAACGUUGUUCGGAAUCACUGGGCUUAAAGGGCGCGUAGGCGGCCAGCACAAGUCAGUUGUGAAAUCUCCGGGCUUAACUCGGAAAGGUCAACUGAUACUGUGCGGCUAGAGUGCAGAAGGGGCAACUGGAAUUCUCGGUGUAGCGGUGAAAUGCGUAGAUAUCGAGAGGAACACCUGCGGCGAAGGCGGGUUGCUGGGCUGACACUGACGCUGAUGCGCGAAAGCCAGGGAGCGAACGGG